rnacentral:tRNA from 1 species
GGAGUUGUGGCUCAGUAGUAGAGCACUUGCCUGGCAUGUGUGAGGCCCUGGGUUCAAUCCUCAGCACCA